GCCCGGAUGGCGAAACUGGUAGACGCAAGGGACUUAAAAUCCCUCGGGCCUCGCCCGUGCCGGUUCGAGUCCGGCUCCGGGCACCA
rnacentral:tRNA from 1 species